rnacentral:rRNA from 1 species
CUGGGCGUAAGCGCACGCAGGCGGUCUGUCAAGUCGGAUGUGAAAUCCCCGGGCUCAACCUGGGAACUGCAUUCGAAACUGGCAGGCUAGAGUCUUGUAGAGGGGGGUAGAAUUCCAGGUGUAGCGGUGAAAUGCGUAGAGAUCUGGAGGAAUACCGGUGGCGAAGGCGGCCCCCUGGACAAAGACUGACGCUCAGGUGCGAAAGCGUGGGGAGCAAACAGGAUUAGAUACCCUGGUAGUCCACGCCGUAAACGAUGUCGACUUGGAGGUUGUGCCCUUGAGGCGUGGCUUCCGGAGCUAACGCGUUAAGUCGACCGCCUGGGGAGUACGGCCGCAAGGUUAAAACUCAAAUGAAUUGACGGGGGCCCGCACAAGCGGUGGAGCAUGUGGUUUAAUUCGAUGCAACGCGAAGAACCUUACCUACUCUUGACAUCCAGAGAACUUUCCAGAGAUGGAUUGGUGCCUUCGGGAACUCUGAGACAGGUGCUGCAUGGCUGUCGUCAGCUCGUGUUGUGAAAUGUUGGGUUAAGUCCCGCAACGAGCGCAACCCUUAUCCUUUGUUGCCAGCGGUUAGGCCGGGAACUCAAAGGAGACUGCCAGUGAUAAACUGGAGGAAGGUGGGGAUGACGUC